CGGUCCUUGGGCUGCCGUCAUCUGCCUGAGCACUUUUCCAUCAGGCCAAUAAUCUGGAGGGAAAACCUCUCAUCAAUCUGGUGCUUCAGUGAGAUCCUGGAAAAUGGGAAGCUAAAAACUUGGUUUUGGCUAAGGUCCGCUUUGUAAAGAAUCUCUACAGAGCAUCCCACAGGGACGGUGGCAGAUUCUCCUCUGGCAUCCAAGAGGGCGUUCCACUUGUGAAAGAACUGAAACACAACUUCUCUCUGGAUUAUCUGACACUGUGAACAUCCACUACCAGCUGACUCUGUUCUUAAUAGAUGGGUUCAGCCUUUAACAGGUUCUGCAUGCAGUUCUGCUGCUGCUGCUGUGUUGCUGAUGAUGAUGAAGAAGAAGAUGAAAAGCAGCCUUUAGUACCUGCGGAUCCGUUGGACUAUUUUACCCGUGAAGUCCAGAAGCGUCGAGAUGAGGAAACAAACCUGUGGAGUGAGCCGGGAGACCCCAGCCAUUCGGAGAGACCGGAUGACCGGGUGCUCUACUCUCUGCUGCAGGCCAGGCAGAAGACCC